rnacentral:rRNA from 1 species
AGUGGCGGACGGGUGAGUAACGCGUAAGAAUCUAACUUCAGGACGGGGACAACAGUGGGAAACGACUGCUAAUACCCGAUGUGCCGCGAGGUGAAACCUAAUUGGCCUGAAGAAGAGCUUGCGUCUGAUUAGCUAGUUGGUGGGGUAAGAGCCUACCAAGGCGACGAUCAGUAGCUGGUCUGAGAGGAUGAGCAGCCACACUGGGACUGAGACACGGCCCAGACUCCUACGGGAGGCAGCAGUGGGGAAUUUUCCGCAAUGGGCGAAAGCCUGACGGAGCAACGCCGCGUGAGGGAGGAAGGUCUUUGGAUUGUAAACCUCUUUUCUCAAGGAAGAAGUUCUGACGGUACUUGAGGAAUCAGCCUCGGCUAACUCCGUGCCAGCAGCCGCGGUAAUACGGGGGAGGCAAGCGUUAUCCGGAAUUAUUGGGCAUAAAGCGUCCGCAGGUGGUCAGCCAAGUCUGCCGUCAAAUCAGGUUGCUUAACGACCUAAAGGCGGUGGAAACUGGCAGACUAGAGAGCAGUAGGGGUAGCAGGAAUUCCCAGUGUAGCGGUGAAAUGCGUAGAGAUUGGGAAGAACAUCGGUGGCGAAAGCGUGCUACUGGGCUGUAUCUGACACUCGGGGACGAGAGCUAGGGGAGCGAAAGGGAUUAGAUACCCCUGCAGUCCUAGCCGUAAACGAUGGAUACUAGGCGUGGCUU